GGGUCGUUAGCUCAGAGGUAGAGCAGCGGACUUUUAAUCCGUUGGCCGUGAGUUCAAUCCUCACACGACCCACCA
rnacentral:tRNA from 1 species